AAGUCGUAACAAGGUAACCGUAGGUGAACCUGCGGUUGGAUCAUUAGAAAAACGAAAAGCUCAAGCUUUUUCCACACUUGUGAAUUGUUUAUUGUCUCUGGCAAGGUUGAGGCGCGAGCCAACGCUUUGCCGCUUUACACUAGUAUUAUUAUUUGCCUGGAACAUUUUAUUAAAAACAACUUUUAACACGGAUCUCUAGGCUCUC
rnacentral:misc_RNA from 1 species